rnacentral:rRNA from 1 species
UUACAGGGGAAGUCGGUGAUCCUAUGCUGCCAAGAAAAUCUUCUAGCGAGGUUCGAGCCGCCCGUACCCCAAACCGACUCAGGUGGUUAGGUAGAGAAUACCAAGGCGAUCGAGUGAAUCGUGGUUAAGGAAUUCGGCAAAAUACCCCCGUAACUUCGGGAGAAGGGGGGCCCAGAGGGUGACGGGACUUGCUCCCCGAGCCUGAACGGCCGCAGAGACCAGGGAGAAGCGACUGUUUACUAAAAACACAGGUCCGUGCCAAGUCGCAAGACGAUGUAUACGGACUGACGCCUGCCCGGUGCUGGAACGUUAAGGGGACCGGUUAGCCUCACGGCGAUGCUGAGAACUUAAGCGCCAGUAAACGGCGGUGGUAACUAUAACCAUCCUAAGGUAGCGAAAUUCCUUGUCGGGUAAGUUCCGACCUGCACGAAUGGCGUAACGAUUUCUCCACUGUCUCAACCACGAACUCGGCGAAAUUGCACUACGAGUAAAGAUGCUCGUUACGCGCAGAAGGACGGAAAGACCCCGGGACCUUUACUACAGCUUGGUAUUGGUGUUCGGUACGGCUUGUGUAGGAUAGGUGGGAGACUGUGAAGCUGACACGCCAGUGUCGGUGGAGUCAACGUUGAAAUACCACUCUGGUCGUUCUGGAUAUCUAACCUAGGUCCGUGAUCCGGAUCAGGGACAGUGCCUGGUGGGUAGUUUAACUGGGGCGGUUGCCUCCUAAAAGGUAACGGAGGCGCCCAAAGGUUCCCUCAGCCUGGUUGGCAAUCAGGUUUUGAGUGUAAGUGCACAAGGGAGCUUGACUGUGAGACUGACAAGUCGAACAGGGACGAAAGUCGGGACUAGUGAUCCGGCGGUGGCUUGUGGAAGCGCCGUCGCUCAACGGAUAAAAGGUACCCCGGGGAUAACAGGCUGAUCUUGCCCAAGAGUCCAUAUCGACGGCAUGGUUUGGCACCUCGAUGUCGGCUCGUCGCAUCCUGGGGCUGGAGUAGGUCCCAAGGGUUGGGCUGUUCGCCCAUUAAAGCGGUACGCGAGCUGGGUUUAGAACGUCGUGAGACAGUUCGGUCCCUAUCCUCUGCGCGCGCAGGAAACUUGAGAAGGGCUGUCCCUAGUACGAGAGGACCGGGAUGGACGAACCUCUGGUGUGUCAGUUGUUCUGCCAAGAGCACCGCUGAUUAGCUACGUUCGGGAGUGAUAACCGCUGAAAGCAUCUAAGCGGGAAGCAUGCUUCAAGAUGAGGUUUCCAUGGGGUUUACCCCGAGAGGCUCCCAGCUAGACUACUGGGUUGAUAGGCCGGAUGUGGAAGUGCGGUAACGCAUGGAGCUGACCGGUACUAAUAAGCCGAUAACUUGACC